GACCUCGUAGCUCAGUUGGCAGAGCAUUGGACUAGUAUCCAAAGGUCGCGGGUUUGAUGCCCACCGUGGUCA
rnacentral:tRNA from 1 species